rnacentral:rRNA from 1 species
GAUGAACGCUGGCGGCGUGCCUAAUACAUGCAAGUCGAGCGAACGGACGAGAAUCUUUCUUCUCUUAUGUUAGCGGCGGACGGGUGAGUAACACGUGGCUAACCUACCUUUAAGACUGGGAUAACUUCGGGAAACCGUAUCUCAUAUCGGAUAAUAUUUUGAACCGCAUGGUUCAUAAGUGCAAGACGUUCUUGCUGUCACUUAUAGAUGUAUCCUCGCUGCAUUAGUUAGUUGGUAAGGUAACGGCUUACCAAGGCUACGAUGCAUAGCCGACCUGAGAGGGUGAUCGGCCACACUGGAACUGAGACACGGUCCAGACUCCUACGGGAGGCAGCAGUAGGGAAUAUUCGGCAAUGGGCGAAAGCCUGACGGAGCAACGCCGCGUGAGUGAUGAAGGUCUUCGGAUCGUAAAACACUGUUAUUAGGGAAGAAGAUAUGUGAAAGAAAAUGUGGACAUCUUGACGGUACCUAAACAGAAAGCAACGGCUAACUACGUG